rnacentral:rRNA from 1 species
UACGUAGGGGGCAAGCGUUGUCCGGAUUUAUUGGGCGUAAAGAGCGUGUAGGCGGCCAUGUAGGUCCGUUGUGAAAACUCGAGGCUCAACCUCGAGACGCCGAUGGAAACCAUGUGGCUAGAGUCCGGAAGAGGAGAGUGGAAUUCCUGGUGUAGCGGUGAAAUGCGCAGAUAUCAGGAAGAACACCCGUGGCUAAGGCGGCUCUCUAGGCCGGAACUGACGCUGAGGAGCGAAAGCGUGGGGAGCGAACAGG